GAUGAAGAACGUAGCGAAAUGCGAUAAGUAGUGUGAAUUGCAGAAUUCAGUGAAUCAUCGAAUCUUUGAACGCACAUUGCGCCUCCUGGUAUUCCGGGGGGCAUGCCUGUUCGAGCGUCAUUUCACCACUCAAGCCUCGCUUGGUAUUGGGCAACGCGGUCCGCCGCGUGCCUCAAAUCGACCGGCUGGGUCUUCUGUCCCCUAAGCGUUGUGGAAACUAUUCGCUAAAGGGUGUUCGGGAGGCUACGCCGUAAAACAACCCCAUUUCUAAGGUUGACCUCGGAUCAGGUAGGGAUACCCGCUGAACUUAAGCAUAUCAAUAAGCGGAGGA
rnacentral:misc_RNA from 1 species